rnacentral:misc_RNA from 1 species
AUUUUUGGAAUGGGCAGAGAUCCAGCUCCUUGACUAUUGGAGAGCGAAUUUGCGCUGCGCUUUUGCCAUUUGCGGCUUUAAUCGAGGUUUUGAUUUUCGCUGUGUCUAAUUGCUUCGAGUUACGGCCACGGAUUAAGAGAAUCCGUUACCGCUUCACUGAUCUAGUUGGCCUUGCCCGUGAAUCUCGGUUUACCGUCAACGAAGUGGAGGCGUUGUAUGAGCUCUAUAAGAAGUUGAGUAGUUCCAUAAUCGACGAUGGAUUGAUUCAUAAGGAAGAACUUCAGUUAGCAAUCUUCCAAACGCCUCAUGGCGAGAAUCUCUUCCUAGACCGGGUUUUUGAUCUUUUUGAUGAAAAGCGAAAUGGCGUAAUUGAGUUUGAGGAAUUUGUCCAUGCACUUAGUGUUUUCCAUCCCUGUGCCCCC